rnacentral:rRNA from 1 species
UGCUGUCGCACGAGUUCAGACUCGUGGCGAAUAGCUCAGUAACACGUGGCCAAACUACCCUUCGGAACACAAUACCCUCGGGAAACUGAGGCUAAUAGUGUAUACCACAGUCCACCUGGAAUGAGGACUGUGCCAAACGCUCCGGCGCCGAAGGAUGUGGCUGCGGCCGAUUAGGUAGACGGUGGGGUAACGGCCCACCGUGCCAAUAAUCGGUACGGGUCAUGAGAGUGAGAACCCGGAGACGGAAUCUGAGACAAGAUUCCGGGCCCUACGGGGCGCAGCAGGCGCGAAACCUUUACACUGCACGACAGUGCGAUAAGGGAAUCCCAAGUGCGUAGGCAUAGAGCCUACGCUUUUGUCCACCGUAGGGAGGUGGACGAAUAAGGGCUGGGCAAGACCGGUGCCAGCCGCCGCGGUAAUACCGGCAGCCCGAGUGAUGGCCGAUCUUAUUGGGCCUAAAGCGUCCGUAGCUGGCCGCACAAGUCCAUCGGAAAAUCCACCCGCUCAACGGGUGGGCGUCCGGUGGAAACUGUGUGGCUUGGGACCGGAAGGCGCGACGGGUACGUCCGGGGUAGGAGUGAAAUCCCGUAAUCCUGGACGGACCGCCGAUGGCGAAAGCACGUCGCGAGAACGGAUCCGACAGUGAGGGACGAAAGCUAGGGUCUCGAACCGGAUUAGAUACCCGGGUAGUCCUAGCCGUAAACAAUGCCUGCUAGGUGUGGCUCCCACUACGAGUGGGUGCUGUGCCGU